AGGCGAGCGGGACGGAGCAUCGGCCUCUCAGAAUCACAGAAUCGCAGGCUGUACUAAGUUGGAAGGGACCCACAAAGACCAUGAAGUCCAACUCCUCACCUUGGACAGGACAUCCCCAAGAACCACACUAUGUGCCUGAGAGUGGUGUCCAAACGCUUGAUGGACUCUGUCAGGCUUGGUGCUGAGACCACUUCCCUGGGGAGCCUGUUCCAGUGCCCAACCCCGCACGGUGUGAAGAGCCUUUUGGCUAAUAUCCGAUCUAAAUCUUUCCCUGACACAACCCCAGGCCAUUCCCUUGGGUCCCGUCACUGGUCACCACAGAGUGGUGUCAGCCUCUCUGCUUCCCCUCAUGAGGAAGUUGUAUCUUCAGUGGGGUCUCCCCUCAGUCUCCUCUCCAGGAGGAACAGAUCCAGUGCCUUCAGCCUCUCCUCACACAGCUUCCCCUCAAGGUCCUUCACCAUCGCUGUUGGCUUCCUUUGGACACUCUCUAAGAGCUUUAUAACCUUCUCAUAUUGUGUCACCCAAAACUGCCCCAACACUUGAGGUAGGCCACCCCAGUGCAGAGCAGAGCGGGACAGUCACAUCCCUUGCCUGGCUGGUGUACCUGUGUACUGAUGCUGUGCCUGAUGUACCCCAGGAGAGGGUUGGCCCUCCUGGCUUGGACUGCCCACUGGGUAGUGGCAGAGUGGCUGUUUGCUUGUUGGUCAGCUGUGCCAGACUUGGGAAGAGCCUCUGGACUGAGCAGGGCCUGUUCUGUCAAGUGUUUCCACUGGACAAGUGCAGCCCAGCCACUGCAGGUGGAGGGAGUCCAGGCAUGGGGAUGCACUGCCAUGGCCACAGCUUUGGAAGAACAAGCUUCUUCCUUCCAGGGUUCCUGCUUCUGUGACAGGUUGCGUAAUGACAUCUCACCACAUUUCAACAUGGAAAAUACAGUGUCAUGCAUAUGUCCAGGUGGUUUAAAUCAUCCUGCCUGCCAAAAGCACAAGGCACAGCCCUGCCUGUUGAGCCCUGUUCCUGCUCCUGUGCUGCUCACCUCACCUUCUGCCAGCAUGGUGUUUGCAUGGCUGCACAAGGAAUUGGGCUGUGCAGGAGAAGCUGCUGCAGAGAAAACAAAGCAGUUUUCACUCAGAGCAGAAUGCAGGUCAUCAGGCAAUUGCAUAAAGGCUUGUGCCAGCACAAAGGCAGGGCUGAUAAAAGCAGCUGAGAGGGGAUGGAGCCUAGAAGUGCUUUUCUAGCAGUGUGGUGGUCUAUGGCAGCUUAAACUGUAUGUGAAACUCUAGACACCGAUAAUUUGGAGGUGGACACCUGCUCUGUAUUUUUCAGUUCUACUUCAAGACUGGCCCAGAGUUCAUCUCAGGCUUAACACAGAAGUUUCUUUGAAGCACGACUUCUUGUUUAGUUGCUAUGACUUGCUUCCAUUUCUAGCUUAAAAAAUUGGCCAGAAAACAUGGUGGAAGUCAUGCCCGGGAUACACUGGGAAGGUUGUGCAUGCUGCUGUAGUACAUGUAGCACUAGUGUAUGCUAGUGUUAAUCUAGCUAGUUUGAGCAAUGUCAGCUGUAACUACAUGGUGUCACUAGGUUUAUACCAAUUGUUCCACCAGGUUUGUGAUCUGGAAGAGGUGAAAAAUGACUCACCUGAAAGCCCUCUCUACAUUAUUUUUGCUUGCUUUCCAGACUGAAAUACAUGCAGGUAUGUCUACACAUGCUGCAAUCACACACCUCUGCAGUUACACCCCAAAACAUAACUAGCAGGAUUGGUUUCAUGACUAAAAGACAACUUGCAUGCCAAAAGAAAACUUGCAUGACUACUGCUAGCCAAAAUAAGCUGCCUUUUCUCUUUUUGGGUGAUAGCAAGUGGAAAAUCUAAGGAAUUGUCUUUGGAAUUGGCUCAGAGGCAAUCUUGCCAUUCCUGGUGUACAUGAGGUGGUGAAUGUACACCCACAAACACCAGCAUGAUGCUACAUGCAGUGCCCAUGCUCACACAGCCGAGACUAUGAUUCCUGUUUGCUUCAGCAGCCCAGUCUUUGGUGUCCUGUGGGAAAUAGCUUCUUCUAGUCCUUCAUGGGAAAUGAAGAAAGAGCUUGUACCAUCAUCCAUCUAUGCUGUUGUUUUCUUACCUGUUUUUUGGGUUUUUAAAAAAAAAAUUAAAGAAGGAUUUUAUGAAAGUGCCUAUAUGGUAUAUUUAACAUGAAAUUAUAAAUAUACUAUUAAAUAUUAAUUGUAAAAGUAUUAAUAAUACAAUUAUUUAACAUAGACCAGAAUGAUUAAAUCCAGACAUGUGACAGCAUAAGCUUGUGUGCAAUGGGUGUGGAUCAAGUACCUGCUUUGUGCACAAUGGUUUUCAGAACUGGCAUGUUACAGCUUGUACACUGUCUUUUGAUCAGGCAUCUGUUCAGUGUAAAAAGAACAUGUAACUUCUACAAAAAUGUCAAUAUAAUUAGUAAUGAGAUAGCCAUGAGAUGGCAAAAUAUUAACAAGAAAUCCAAUUCUUGAUUGUUUUACAAGAAUGGUUUUCUUAUCUUUUUCUGGCACCACAAUUUUUAGCCAAUCAUUAUACUCAGCUGCUAUUCACUCACUAGUACUCUGCUCAGCUACCAUUUCAUGACAUACUUUUAAUUGUGUAUAUAUAUAGCUCAUACUCCUUCCUAUAUUAAAUUUUCUGGUCCAAUGGACUUAAUUUGUUGUUCUAAUUUUGGCAGAUUUUUCUCUAAAAUGUAAUACAGCUUAACACUGUUUUCUUUGUUUUAGAGCUGUACUGAAUUUAUUGUAGCUGUGCCCAUUUGUGUUUUCUAACCCACAUCACUCCAAGCUCCACAGAAGAAACAGUCCCUUCAUUUCUUUCUAAAUUUUUUCCCAAUAGAUUGCUCAGGCACAGAGAGUUUGGGGAGAGGCAGGCACAAUUCCACCACCUCUGAGGACCACCAAGGGAAAAUAACAACACAGAACUUUUAACAAAUUAUUUAAAGCAUACUAUCAUAUUUUCCUUAUUAAAAUCAUUUAUUACCAAACUAUUUAUGUAAUUUACCUUUCUUCUAAAGUAAAUGCAGCUACCGGAAUAAUGAAAAUUUUGGCCACCAUUGGCAGAGAAUUGGUUUGAAUUACAAAGAAAAUAUUAACUUAUUUUAGUGAUCUACUGUAGUGUACAGUAGCUUGCAUUUUUUGCUACUUACUUAAUCCACUGGACAUUAAUUAGAAACAAAUCUGUCUAUUGGAGAUCUCAUAUUUUUUGUCUUUGUAUUUAGAGAUUAAAUAAGACUAGAAAAUAUCCAUAAUAUUAGACUGCCUCAGAAAAGCCAUUACUAUAGAUAAAUCUGUUUAGCUGUAUCAUCUCAGUCCCUUUUCCUGUGAUCCCAAAUAAAGGUAAUCAACUCCCCCAAAACACAAGCACACUAUUAACAGUUUCUAGUUAUGACAGGAAGGAAACAAAAAUCUCUGUAAUCCUAUAACUAGUUUCUGGCAACAGUGCUAACUGAUGAGGAGCACCACAAAGGAGUUAUAUGCCAGACAAGAGGAACAGGAGAAACACUAGGGCAGGAAUUACAAAUGGAAGGAAAUGCCGUAUUUCAAACAGACACUAGACAGCAACCUGCCAGUACUGCAGCCCUCAAGGGUCAGUCCUACAGAGAAUGAGGACAUCUAAAGAAAACCCAAGGCAAAACUGUCUCUCUGUUAUCUGAGAACAUCCACAAUGCUGCCGACAGUAGUCCUGUGCAGAAAUAAUGUACACCUGUGAAAAAACACAAAGAGUCGGCAAAUACAGAUAGCAGGUUCACUUGCUGGCUCGGACAGCAUCUGAAGAAAGAACUAUUUAAAAACACAAGAGGUGGUGUUAUAAUGAGGAAACCAUGGAGAGCAGAAAGCUUAUGAUUAUUGACAGAAGUUGAUUAAGAAAUGGAUUAUUGUCUGUUAGGAUGUUGGAAUAUCUACUGCUACCAUUAUCCUACGUAUCUUUAUGUAAAUUUCCUUUAAUUGAGGUAGUCAUUUACAAUCAUUAUUUUCAUUGGUAAUGUGCUUUAUUUGCAUUUGAAAGCAAAAAGAGGAAAAAAAUUAAACACAACUGGCUGACCCCUACCAUGUGAGAAAGGGUUUGCUUUUUGUCACUCUGACCCAAAUGGAUUAGGGCCAGGAAAUAAAGGUCAAGCUCUUACCAGUACCCCCAUGUGUCACAUUUUUAUUACAUGGAGUUUCCAAGAAAAAUAUUCCAAUUUGUGUCAGUAAUUAUUCAUUCUUUAUGCAUUAUCAUGUCAGUUUCUGAGUUUAUUUUGUAUUCAGAAAUUACCUUUGAGUGCCAGGCCUAUUAAAAAGCAACCCUUUGUGAAAUACCCUUCAGCAGUUAGAUGUGAUAGAUUUUGUAGCUGUACAUGCUCUUUUUUCCCUUUUAAGAAUUUCCUCUUCUACAGCAGUCCCCCCAUCACUUGAGUCAUAAACCACUAAGACCAUGGCUGGAUUAUGCUCCUUUGUGGAUUUGCAAGUUGCAGCCUUAGUUAGAUGUCUGAGGGCUGUAAUAGCUAAAGCAGUGCACAGGGCAGGUGGGGUUGGAGCCACUCUCUCUGUGCUGUCGGACAGCAGGAGGUACAAGCAUGCAGCACCCUGCCCUGCAUGCUGCUCUAACACUGACCACAGCGAGAAGCUUGACGUCAGGUUUUAGCCACCAGCCACAUCAGAGAGCUCUGUCCUGUGGGAAUUAGUUUGGGGCAGUGCUGCACCUUUCCAAGAGAGGAGGUAGAAAGGUGAAGGUCCCCUCCAGCCCAGGACUGCCCAGCCCCACCACAGUGCAGUGGGGAGACAUCUGGGGGUGCCAGGGGUUCCAUGGGCAUAGCUACAGCUCUGGAUGCAGGGCUCCCAAGAUAAGCUGCUAAAGAAGUUUCUGGUUUCACAAUUUUAAUGAUAACUUUUUAAUCUGGUCAUUAUUUUCUUUGAUUGCUAAUACCUUGACCUCUGGUGACAGCUGCUGCUUAUGCCUGCUAAACUUUAAUGCAGGCUACAGUAAAGAACAUUAUGAUUAUUUGAAAAGGCAGAUUGUAAUGCAUUUCAGAUUAACAGUAAAAGAAAAGCUAUUGAAGUUAGAGGUUCACUUUGCCAUAUCACUCUAUGCUGCUUUCCUUAUUAUCAGUACAAAAAAUGAAAUGAGAAUAGCACAUCUUUUAAUUUCCUUCUACUAUUACCUCUUGAUUUGCAUUCAGAGCUCCCAGAAGAAAUACUGCUGAAUUCAGAAGUAGUCUAUUUAAGCUGCAUGGUGUUUAAAAAUUGCUGGAAGAGGUUAAGGUGCUCUAUAUUAUGCAGUUGACCUUACUAAGAAGCUGUGUUAACAAUUUAGAUUUAUAAUUUUGUUAAUUUUUUUUUCCUAAGCAAAAUUCAUUAUCUCUUUUUGUACUCCUGAAGGUUAAAUCUUUUUAUUUCACUCUAACUUAUUUUGUAAGAUUUCUAAAUUAUAUUUAAACUUCUUGUACUUAAAAGGUUGCUUUGCCCAUGUCUCUGAAAAGAAGCAUUUUGUUUCUGUCUCUCUUUGUAUCAGGUCUGAAGAGACUGUGUGCCCUCACAAUAUUUUACCUAGGAAGAAAGAACUCAAACCCUCCAUCUGCAGAGUCCUGCAAAUACAUUUGAAUUCUUUUAUCUGUCACUAUUAUAUCUUUGUGGCUGACUGGGUUUGAACAAGAUGUCCGUGGAAAAUAUUAUGAAUCCUGCCUUUACCAAACAGUUGUAGCCACCUGGUGUACAGGAUUCAAGCUUCCCUGGAUUUAACCUUUUCUCCCUGCCUUUGUCACCACUGGGCCUGGUCAUUGAGAAACAGAAGAAAUCCUAACAAAUUAACAAUAGUGAAAUAUGCCAGGGUAGGGAGAGCUGUACUUUAGGCUCUGCAGCCCUAAACAGAGGCGUUUGAGCUCUCUACUGUUGCCUGAGCAAAAAAAAAGGCCAGUGGUGGAACCCUGUAAUGCAGAACAUUUUCCAAAAUGCCUAAGGUGUCACCAUGCUGGCUCAGUGGUCCCCAGCAGGGGAUAUUUAUUAUGGACAUUGCCUCCUGGUCAUUCUCAUCUGAAAACUCAUCCUACAGUUAUGACUCUGCCAGUAAAUAAAACAGGACCAGGAGCUCUGGGCUGCGAGGCCAAGCAGCAGGGACCAGCCAUAUCAGCACUGUAUGGCCUGUGACCCUCAGGCACAAUCAUCCUGGUUAGGAUUUAGAACAAGUUUACGUUUGUUCAGCCUGCAAUGUGGCAGUGAGGAGGGGGCUCACUGUAGUGUUUAUGCAAGUGGGUGUGAUGGAGGUGCAGAGCACCUCAGGUCCCACUGGAGGACUGUGGGGGCGGGAUGGAGACAGGACAGACAGCUCUGUAGUUUCCCCUGGAAGUGGCCUUGCUGCACGAUCCCCCAUAAGUAAUGGCUGGACAGUCUCCUGCAGAGGUAGCUGGCAUGGGCCAAAACCAGACCAAGUGGAGCAUCUAAAACAGGGUGGACCAUGAGCAGAGCGGUGCUGGGGAUUGCCCAACUCCCUGCAGCCAGGCCUGCAGACCUGUCUGAGAGUCAGCAGCAAGGCGGUGCCCUCAGUGAAGCAGGAACGAGUUGUGACUCGCAGCUGUGAGCACAGGCUGAAGUCAGGAUGGAUGUUUUGACAUUUCAGUGUUUCUUGAGUUCCUAUUAAUUAUCCACUCUAGUGCAACAUUCGCGUAGACUUCCUACAGCUAGAGCAAUAUUAUUAUUGACAGCUGCCUUCCUGUUGUAAAGUCAACACAGGGAGCAAGGGAAGCCCAGGACAGAUCCUAGAGCCAGAAGGUAGUUUUAUUCAUCUAAUCUCUAAGUAUUUAGGCAGUGAUUAGAACCAUAGCAACUAUCUGAGCCACUUGAAUCAAUUAGAUACAGAGAUAGCAACACUUGUUAUUUAUACAGCACCCUUUAUUGGAAAAUUAAAAAAUGUCAGAUACCUGUUUCAUUGAGUAGGUAAACUGCAUUCAUUUGUUGACAUGGAGGUGCAAUGAAACCUUUCUUUUUAUCACUGGGAUACAACUACAUGAGAGAGACUGUUUGCAACAAAUAAGUAAAACAGAAGUUCUAAAGAAAAAAAGAAUAAACCAAGGGGACAAAAACAUUCUAAAUGGAUGAAGAAUUAGUCUAUAUGCAGAGCCAGGCCAAAACUUGGCAGAUUUAUAAACCAGCUAACACAGAAAUAAAUGAAAGUCCAAACAAUAGAGACUAAUAGAGACCUGGAACAAAUAAAAUAAUGAACUCAGAAAUGUUACCAAUUGAUUGCAAAGAUAAAAAUGCCUGUUGAAUUAAUUGUGUCCCUGUAGUUCAUUCUACUGCUUACUUUGCUUCUGGAAAGAUUCUGUAUCUGAAAAAGCCAUAUGAAGUAUAUUCCUCAAAGAGCACAAAUGGAAAUAAAUAUUUCUCACUUGAAAUGAUAA